rnacentral:rRNA from 1 species
GACGUAGGGCGCGAGCGUUGUCCGGAUUUAUUGGGCGUAAAGAGCUCGUAGGCGGUUUGUCGCGUCUGCCGUGAAAGUCCGGGGCUCAACUCCGGAUCUGCGGUGGGUACGGGCAGACUAGAGUGAUGUAGGGGAGACUGGAAUUCCUGGUGUAGCGGUGAAAUGCGCAGAUAUCAGGAGGAACACCGGUGGCGAAGGCGGGUCUCUGGGCCGAUACUGACGCUGAGGAGCGAAAGCGUGGGGAGCAAACAGG